rnacentral:rRNA from 1 species
GACGAACGCUGGCGGCGUGCCUAAUACAUGCAAGUCGAGCGAACCUUUAGGAGCUUGCUCCUAAAGGUUGGCGGCGGACGGGUGAGUAACACGUGGGCAACCUGCCUAUAAGACUGGGAUAACUUCGGGAAACCGGAGCUAAUACCGGAUAAUCCUUUCCCUCUCAUGAGGGAAAGCUGAAAGACGGUUUCGGCUGUCACUUAUAGAUGGGCCCGCGGCGCAUUAGCUAGUUGGUGAGGUAACGGCUCACCAAGGCAACGAUGCGUAGCCGACCUGAGAGGGUGAUCGGCCACACUGGGACUGA